GAUGAAGAACGUAGCGAAAUGCGAUAAGUAAUGUGAAUUGCAGAAUUCAGUGAAUCAUCGAAUCUUUGAACGCACAUUGCGCCCCUUGGUAUUCCGAGGGGCAUGCCUGUUCGAGCGUCAUUAUAACCCCUCAAGCUCAGCUUGGUGUUGGGGCCUGCUGCACUGGCAGCCCUUAAAAUCAGUGGCGGCGCCAUCUGGCUCCAAGCGUAGUAAUUCUUCUCGCUAUGGAGUCCUGGUGGAUGCUUGCCAUCAACCCCCAAUUUUUCUAUGGUUGACCUCGGAUCAGGUAGGGAUACCCGCUGAACUUAAGCAUAUCAAUAAGCGGAGGA
rnacentral:misc_RNA from 1 species